rnacentral:rRNA from 1 species
GAUGAACGCUGGCGGCGUGCCUAAUACAUGCAAGUCGAGCGAACGGACGAGAAGCUUGCUUUUCUGAUGUUAGCGGCGGACGGGUGAGUAACACGUGGAUAACCUACCUAUAAGACUGGGAUAACUUCGGGAAACCGGAGCUAAUACCGGAUAAUAUUUUGAACCGCAUGGUUCAAAAGUGAAAGACGGUCUUGCUGUCACUUAUAGAUGGAUCCGCGCUGCAUUAGCUAGUUGGUAAGGUAACGGCUUACCAAGGCAACGAUGCAUAGCCGACCUGAGAGGGUGAUCGGCCACACUGGAACUGAGACGCGGUCCAGACUCCUACGGGAGGCAGCAGAAGGGAAUCUUCCGCAAUGGGCGAAAGCCUGACGGAGCAACGCCGCGUGAGUGAUGAAGGUCUUCGGAUCGUAAAACUCUGUUAUUAGGGAAGAACAUAUGUGUAAGUAACUGUGCACAUCUUGACGGUACCUAAUCAGAAAGCCACGGCUAACUACGUG